rnacentral:tRNA from 1 species
CAAAGAAUAGUUUAAUGAAGAAUGCUGGCUUUGGGAGCUAGUGGCGGGAGUUAGAGUCUCCUUUCUUUGA